AUAGAAAACUUGAAUGGAAGAGUAGACAGAAGGACUUCAGAAAGCGCAUCUUUUACACAUGUAGUAAGGUAUGUUGAUGAGUAAAAUUGUUCCUUGUUUGGUUUAGGAAGAAAACCAAACCGACCAUAAAAUUGAAUUGAACUGUUAAUGGUUCGUCCUGAAUCGAACUGGUAUAUAGGUUCGGUACACCAAUUUUUUGGUUCCAAACCAGAAUUACCUCUAAAGAAAACGAAUUGUGCUUUUUCGAACUGAACCGUACCAAACUGAUAUUAUUAAUUGAUAAUUAGGACCGUUUAAAAACCAAAAACCGAAUAUAACGGUUAAACCGAACCACACCAAAAUGAACUGAAUUCUGACAUAGUUCACGAACUGGUUCUAUUCGUGAACUAUCAACCGCAGUUUGAUUUUCUUCGAUGAAGCUCAGUUUGGUAUUAAAGUUCUAUUUGGUUUUUUCUUUUUUCUAACUGUACUAAUUGAUGUUAUUGAUUUCUUUUGGAUGGCUAUACCAUAUUAAAUCCCUCGGUAUAUUUUAUAACAAUGAUUCACUAUCCAGUUAUUCAGCACAAUAGGAAUGAAAUUGUUAUUCCCAUCAAUGCUUUAUUUGCCACAACAGAUAGAAAAAUAGAAUGGAAGAGCUUUCAGAAGGGUUUCAAGAGAGGCAUCUUUUACAUUUGCAAGACGUUUAACAGGGCAUGGCUGUAGAUGAAGCUCUGAAAUGCCUCCACAAAGCUUAUUGUUUCCGGUCACAGCUAACCUGCUUAUAUUUCCAAAGACACCAUCUAUCGGUACCUCGC